GGGGAAUAUUGCACAAUGGGGGGAACCCUGAUGCAGCCAUGCCGCGUGAAUGAAGAAGGCCUUCGGGUUGUAAAGUUCUUUCGGUGACGAGGAAGGUUGAUAGGUUAAUAGUCUAUCAAAUUGACGUUAAUCACAGAAGAAGCACCGGCUAACUCCGUGCCAGCAGCCGCGGUAAUACGGGGGGUGCAAGCGUUAAUCGGAAUAACUGGGCGUAAAGGGCACGCAGGCGGUGACUUAAGUGAGAUGUGAAAGCCCCGAGCUUAACUUGGGAAUUGCAUUUCAUACUGGGUCGCUAGAGUACUUUAGGGAGGGGUAGAAUUCCACGUGUAGCGGUGAAAUGCGUAGAGAUGUGGAGGAAUACCGAAGGCGAAGGCAGCCCCUUGGGAAUGUACUGACGCUCAUGUGCGAAAGCGUGGGGAGCAAACAGGAUUAGAUACCCUGGUAGUCCACGCUGUAAACGAUGUCGAUUUGGGGAUUGGGCUUUGAGCUUGGUGCCCGUAGCUAACGUGAUAAAUCGACCGCCUGGGGAGUACGGCCGCAAGGUUA
rnacentral:rRNA from 1 species